GAUGAAGAACGCAGCGAAAUGAGAUACGUAAUGUGAAUUGCAGAAUUCAGUGAAUCAUCGAAUCUUUGAACGCAUAUUGCGCUCUCUGGUAUUCCGGAGAGCAUGCUUGUUUGAGUAUCAGUAAACACCUCAACUUCCAUAUCUUUUUUGAAAUGGGAGUUGGACUUGAGUGAUCCCAACGCUUUUCCUCACCGAAAAGUGGCGGGUUACUUGAAAUGCAGGUGCAGCUGGACUUUUCUCUGAGCUAUAAGCAUAUCUAUUUAGUCUGCCUAAAAACAGAUUAUUACCUUUGCUGCAGCUAACAUAAAGGAGAUUAGUUCUUGUGCUGACUGAUGCAGGAUUCACAAAGACAGGCUUCGGCCGACUUUGUAAACUCGAUCUCAAAUCAAGAAAGACUACCCGCUGAACUUAAGCAUAUCAAUAAGCGGAGGA
rnacentral:misc_RNA from 1 species